rnacentral:misc_RNA from 1 species
UCCCGCAACGAGCGCAACCCUUGUCCUAUGUUGCCAGCGAGUCAUGUCGGGGACUCAUAGGAGACUGCCGGGGUCAACUCGGAGGAAGGUGGGGAUGACGUCAAGUCAUCAUGCCCCUUACGUCCUGGGCUGCACACAUGCUACAAUGGCCGGUACAAAGGGCUGCGAUGCCGUGAGGUGGAGCGAAUCCCAAAAAGCCCGGUCUCAGUUCGGAUCGGGGUCUGCAACUCGACCCCGUGAAGUCGGAGUCGCUAGUAAUCGCAGAUCAGCAAUGCUGCGGUGAAUACGUUCCCCGGGCCUUGUACACACCGCCCGUCACGUCACGAAAGUCGGUAACACCCGAAGCCGGUGGCCCAACCCUUGUGGGGGGAGCCGUCGAAGGUGGGACCGGCGAUUGGGACGAAAUCGUAACAAGGUAGCCGUACCGGAAGGUGCGGCUGGAUCACCUCCUUUCUAAGGAGCGUCUGGCUGGUUCGUCCUGUUGGGGAUGGGCUGGUCCAGGGCCAGGGCCGGAUGUGUAGGCCGGUCUGGUUGCUCAUAGGGUGUGGACGCUGACGAUGAGCUGUUGGUUGGUGCUGGGUUGUUCUAGUACUC